CAAAUUAGUCGUACCGGUCACGCCGUGGGUUCCUAGACCGACGCGUGGAAUCUGCUGCUGAAUUUGCUGCAUCGCGCUUUUGUGCAUGAAAAGCUUUUUUUUUCGUAUCAUCACCCCGCACCGUCCCUCUUGAGUCAAGUUCUUGCCAACCUUCAGACACUGGACCCCUAGUGCCACGGACGCAAACUCGAAGAGGGAUGGACUUAGGUCCGCCGACCACUUCAACCUUGUCUUAGGGGUAGCAGGAGGCGGCAACCAUUGCUUCUUUUCGUUCUGCGAGUCGUUGAGGGAAGGUCAAAUGUUCGGGACGCUGGUUCUUUAAAUAUACGUAUAAUUCGAAGUUACUUUGCUGCUUUCUGUACACUUCUUCAAAUUGUUGAGAACAAAAUAAGAAAAUAUUUGAUAAAGAUAGGAACGGAUCAAUUAGUUAAAAUAAUUAUAUGUCUUAAAACAGUUUUAUUGUAUAGAAAAUUUCUAAUUUCUUUAUAAAUUAAAAACAUAGUACUUUAAAUUUGAUUAAAGUCAAUAUUUUUGACUACGCAGUUCGUCAAAAAAAGACAAUUGGUGAUUAAUAAUAUAUAUAUGUACAUAUGUUGGAAAUAUAUAUAAUAAUUGAAUUGGUUAUAUGUAUACAUAUAUAUUACGAUGUAAUAAAUAAAUUAAAAUAUAUAUAGAAUUUUAAACAACGGUUAAAAACGGCAAUCAACUUGUAAUACACUUGCGAAUUUGGAGAUUUCAUUACAAUAAAUAGUAUAAACACAAGUAUUAUGUAUGAAACACCGAAAAGUCGCCCGAUCGGUAAAACCUUUUUCAGGGUAUAUGUAUGUACAAAACAAUAUGAAUUGUGGUUGGAACUACCCAUAACUUUAAAAAUUGGCGUUAAUUUGCCAAAAAUUUCCCAAAACCGAUAUAUAAAAAAAGAAAAAUAAAAGAAAAUUGUAUACAAUUUACUGAUCAAUAUAUUUAAUUAGGUUAAUCUUUAGUAAGACCUAUACACUUUUUUAAAUUAUAAACUUAAAAAUUCCAUUAUUUGAACAUAAAUCAGUUUUUAGUGGUUAAACUAAUAUAAAAAUGAG